CAUCCUCCAAGGCUAAAUACUCCUGACUGACCGAUAGUGAACCAGUACCGUGAGGGAAAGGCGAAAAGAACCCCGGCGAGGGGAGUGAAAAAGAACCUGAAACCGUGUACGUACAAGCAGUGGGAGCCCCACCACUAAGCCAGUGGUGAACUCCACAUACGCAUCCUUUGCUGAGGAUACGGUUAACGGAGCGAAAGCGACGUUCAACCGCAAAA
rnacentral:rRNA from 3 species